AGGCGUGCGCCACCAGGGCAAUCUGGCUGCGACAUCUGUCUCCCCAUUGAUCGCCAGGGUUGAUUCGGCUGAUCUGGCUGGCUAGGCGGGUGUCCCCUUCCUCCCUCACCACUCCAUGUCUGUCCCUCCCGAAGCUGCGUGCUCGGUCGGUCGAAGAGGACGACCUUCCCCGAAUAGAGGAGGACCCGUCUUAGGUCAAGGGUAUAUGAGUAGCUGCGCUCCCCUGCUAGAACCUCCAAAAACAAGCUCUCAAGAACUGCUUUAAAGAGGACGAGAUUUAUACGCAUUACUGGGGGCCCAGCAAUGCUCUCAG
rfam:Cricetulus griseus cell line CHO-K1, whole genome shotgun sequence.